rnacentral:rRNA from 1 species
UACGGAGGGUGCGAGCGUUGUCCGGAAUCACUGGGCGUAAAGGGCGCGUAGGCGGCGCGGGUAGUCAUCGGUGAAAGUUCAGGGCUCAACUCUGAAUCGGCCGGUGAUACUCUCGUGCUUGAGCACUGUAGAGGCAGGUGGAAUUCCGGGUGUAGCGGUGGAAUGCGUAGAGAGUCCCGGAAAGAACACCGGUGGCGAAGGCGGCCUGCUGGGCAGUAGCUGACGCUGAUGCGCGACAGCGUGGGGAGCAACAGG